GCGAGUGGCGAACGGGUGAGUAAAGUAUCGGAACGUACCUUUCAGUGGGGGAUAACGUAGCGAAAGUUACGCUAAUACCGCAUAUUCUGUGAGCAGGAAAGCAGGGGAUCGCAAGACCUUGCGCUGAUUGAGCGGCCGAUAUCAGAUUAGCUAGUUGGUGGGGUAAAGGCCUACCAAGGCGACGAUCUGUAGCGGGUCUGAGAGGAUGAUCCGCCACACUGGGACUGAGACACGGCCCAGACUCCUACGGGAGGCAGCAGUGGGGAAUUUUGGACAAUGGGCGCAAGCCUGAUCCAGCCAUGCCGCGUGAGUGAAGAAGGCCUUCGGGUUGUAAAGCUCUUUCGGCCGGGAAGAAAUCGUGUGGGCUAAUACCCUGCAUGGAUGACGGUACCGGAAUAAGAAGCACCGGCUAACUACGUGCCAGCAGCCGCGGUAAUACGUAGGGUGCGAGCGUUAAUCGGAAUUACUGGGCGUAAAGCGUGCGCAGGCGGUUUUUUAAGACAGGCGUGAAAUCCCCGGGCUUAACCUGGGAACUGCGCUUGUGACUGGAAGGCUAGAGUACGGCAGAGGGGGGUGGAAUUCCACGUGUAGCAGUGAAAUGCGUAGAGAUGUGGAGGAACACCGAUGGCGAAGGCAGCCCCCUGGGCCGAUACUGACGCUCAGCACGAAA
rnacentral:rRNA from 1 species